rnacentral:sRNA from 1 species
ACUGCUGCUAAUCUAUCCCUCACUGCUAAGCUAUCGCCGCUGCCAAUCUAUCUAUUGCUGCAAGCUAUCCCUUGCUGCUAAGCUAUCCCUCACUGCUAAGCUAUCCCUCGCUGCUAAGCUAUCCCUUGCUGGCUAUCUCUCACUGCUAAGCUAUCCCUCACUACUAAGCUAUCUAUUGCUGCUAAUCUAUCGCUGCCAACCUAUCUAUCGCUGCCAACCUAUCUAUCGCUGCCAAUUUAUCUACCACUGUCAAUCUAUCUAUUGCUGCUAAUCUAUCGCUGCUGUCAAUCUAUCUAUCGCUGCUAAUCUAUCUAUUGCUGCUAAUCUAUCGCUGCUAAUCUAUUGCUGCUGUCAAUCUAUCGCUGCUAAUCUAUUGCUGCUGCCAAUCUAUCUAUCACUGCUAAUCUAUCACUGCUAAUCUAUCGCUGCUGCCAAUCUAUCACUGCUAAUCUAUUGCUGCUAAUCUAUUGCUGCUGCCAAUCUAUCUAUCACUGCUAAUCUAUCACUGCUAAUCUAUCGCUGCUGCCAAUCUAUCUAUCACUGCCAAUCUAUCUAUCGCUGCUAAUCUAUCUAUUGCUGCUAAUCUAUCGCUGCUAAUCUAUUGCUGCUGCCAAUCUAUCUAUCACUGCUAAUCUAUCACUGCUAAUCUAUCACUGCUAAUCUAUCACUGCUAAUCUAUCGCUGCUGCCAAUCUAUCUAUCACUGCUAAUCUAUCGCUGCCAACCUAUCUAUCGCUGCCAAUCUAUCUAUCGCUGCCAAUUUAUCUACCACUGCCAAUCUAUCUAUCGCUGUCAAUUUAUCUAUCACUGCCAAUCUAUCUAUCGCUGCUAAUCUAUCUAUUGCUGCUAAUCUAUCGCUGCUAAUCUAUUGCUGCUGCCAAUCUAUCUAUCACUGCUAAUCUAUCACUGCUAAUCUAUCACUGCUAAUCUAUUGCUGCUGCCAAUCUAUCUAUCACUGCUAAUCUAUCACUGCUAAUCUAUCGCUGCUGCCAAUCUAUCUAUCACUGCUAAUCUAUCGCUGCUGCCAAUCUAUCUACCGCGGCGAAUCUAUCUAUUGCUGCCAACCAACCUACCUACCACUGCCAACCUAUCUAUCGCUGCCAAUCUAUCGCUGCCAAUCUAUCACUGCCAACCUAUCUACUGCAGUGAAUCUAUCUAUCACUAUCAUUACUAGUUCAAAAUAGAACUAUAGCAUAAAUACACUAAACUUCUUUUGAUAGGUAAUGAUUUUUGAUAACACUCAUAGCAUUAUAUCAUCUAUAUAGGGUAAAUCAUGGUCCCAUAAUUUAUAAGAAGAACAUGAUCUGAGACU